rnacentral:tRNA from 1 species
CCGACCUUAGCUCAGUUGGAAGAGCGCAAGACUGUAACGGUUAAUUUCAAAGAUCAUCUUGAUGUCGCCUGUUCGAGCCAGGCAGGUCGGA